rnacentral:lncRNA from 1 species
GCUGGGCAGGGUCAGCUCAGAGUUUUUAUCACUGGGUGGGAUUUUUAUCACUGGGUGGGAUUCAAGGUCUGUGGAGGAAGUGGCCACCUUCUUCUUCCAGGCAGCCAUUUUUUUUCCUUGCCCUGGCUUGUUUGGCUUUUUCCCAAGGCUGCAUUUCAAAACAGCCCCUCCUGGCUGGCGGGGUGUGGGCACAGCUCUGUCACACACCCAGCAGCAGGGGCAGCUGGCCCUAGGCUUCCUGCCCCUCUCUGGGCCACGUGGAUUGGAGGAAAACCCCUCAAGCCUUCUUCAAAAUAGGGAACUGCUCUCCCUGCUUCCUGAAGGACAAGAACUAUCCCCAUGGCAACCAAGGGAUGAAGAGGCCACAUUAACCCUUCUGAGGGCAGGCCUGGUUGAGAGCCUCUUCACCAACCCCUCCUGGGUGUGGCACUAUACAGGCGACAAGGGGAGUCACAUCUCCCAAAGGACAUCCCCCAGUCUCACCACCAUUCCAAGAGAAAGGCAAGGCUGAGAUGUUAUACACAUUGGAUGAAGGGCAACGUUGAGGUGAACUCAGAGGGACGGACAGUACAAGGACUUCGGAUUUUAUUCUCCUAACAAUGCAGAGCCGUAGAGGAGGUAAAGCAGUACUGACUAGCACUGAAGGACUGAUGGUGGCAUAGCCAUUGUCCACCAG